AACGAACGCUGGCGGCAUGCCUAACACAUGCAAGUCGAACGAUUGCCUUCGGGUGAUAGUGGCGCACGGGUGCGUAACGCGUGGGAAUCUGCCCUUAGGUUCGGAAUAACAGCUGGAAACGGCUGCUAAUACCGGAUGAUAUCGCGAGAUCAAAGAUUUAUCGCCUGAGGAUGAGCCCGCGUUGGAUUAUGUAGUUGGUGGGGUAAAGGCCUACCAAGCCGACGAUCCAUAGCUGGUCUGAGAGGAUGAUCAGCCACACUGGGACUGAGACACGGCCCAGACUCCUACGGGAGGAAGCAGUGGGGAAUAGUGGACAAUGGGCGCAAGCCUGAUCCAGCAAGGCCGCGUGAGUGAUGAAGGACCUAGGGUUGUAAAGCUCUUUUACCCGGGAAGAUAAUGACUGUACCGGGAGAAUAAGCCCCGGCUAACUCCGUG
rnacentral:rRNA from 1 species